rnacentral:rRNA from 1 species
GGAUGAACGCUGGCGGCGUGCCUAAAACAUGCAAGUCGAGCGAACAGACGAGGAGCUUGCUCCUCUGACGUUAGCGGCGGACGGGGGAGUAACACGUGGAUAACCUACCUAUAAGACUGGGAUAACUUCGGGAAACCGGAGCUAAUACCGGAUAAUAUAUUGAACCGCAUGGUUCAAUAGUGAAAAACGGUUUUGCUGUCACUUAUGGAUGGAUCCGCGCCGCAUUAGCUAGUUGGUAAGGUAACGGCUUACCAAGGCAACGAUGCGUAGCCGACCUGAGGGGGUGCUCGGCCACACUGGAACUGAGACACGGUCCAGACUCCUACGGGAGGCAGCAGUAGGGAAUAUUCCGCAAUGGGCGAAAGCCUGACGGAGCAACGCCGCGUGAGUGAUGAAGGUCUUCGGAUCGUAAAACUCUGUUAUUAGGGAAGAACAAAUGUGUAAGUAACUAUGCACGUCUUGACGGUACCUAAUCAGAAAGCCACGGCUAACUACGUG